rnacentral:lncRNA from 1 species
UCAGUGUGUCAGUCACACCGGGAUUCAUUCACUGAGUUCCGGGAGCAAGGCAGCUUUUCAAGGCUGGGCACUAAACAGGGGGAGCUUUGUGAGUGCCUAGACUCCUCUGCCGGCCACCUGCUCUUCCUCUCCUUGGCUUCCACGAAGAAAGCUGCAUGAGAGCAGGGAAUUGCUUUGUCCAAUGCUAAUCACUAAAGCUUAGAAUACUGCUUGUUACAUGGGCCAGAAGUCAAGAAUAGGAGAGCAGCAGAAAACCACUAAAUAUGACAGCCAGCUUCACAUGGUUAGGUGGAAACAUCAUUGAUGCAGGAUUUUUCUUUGUCUCCUUACCAGUUGGGGACCUCUGGCUGGUGAUGUUACCUGCCACAGGAUGUGCCCUGCCCAAUCAGCUUGCCAAGUCUAGCUUGUGCACUGGUUCCUGAGUUCUUGUCCUGUGCCCAAGAAGAAUGAGGAUGUGCUGACCAUUGAAGGUAAAAGUAUAUUCUCUUACAUAUUUUCUUUGACAAAUUAUCAAAAUUAGGAAAUUUAACAUUGAAGUAAAAUGUUUUUGAAAUUUAUAGCUCAUAUUCAAAUUUUGUCAACUGUCUUAAUAAAACACUUUCUAGCUAUUACUUUCUUAGUUCACAGUCAGAUAUUUCAAUUAGUUGUCAUGUCUGUGUAGUCUCCUUUAAUUGGAAAGAAUUCCUUAGCCUUUGUUUUUGUUGACCCUGAAAUUAUUAAAGGGUACAAACCAAUUAUUUUGUAGAAGAGUUCCUGUCUGGUGUUUCCUCAUCAUUAGGUUCAGGUUAUGUUUGACAGGAAAACCAUGAUACAUUUUAUCGUUGGUGCCUAUCAAAAGGCAUGCACUAUUUUUCCAAUAUUGGUAGAUUUAAUGUUAUCCCUUUGUUAUUGUGGUAUUCAUCAGGUUUCUCCACUCAGUAACUACUAUUUCCCCUUUGUGAUCAAUAUGCAAUUUGUAAAGAAGAUAACCUGAGGCCAUAUAAAUAUCCUGUACCUCAUCAAACUUUAAUCCUCUGUUUUUUUAAUCCAUUGAUGAUUCCUUUUUUUUUUUUCCUUUCUUUUUUUUGAAACAGAGUCUUGUUCUGUUGACCAGGCUGGAAUGCUGUGGUGUGAUCUCGCCUCAUUUCAACCUCCACCUCCCAGGUUCAAGCGAUUCUCCUGCCUCAGCCUCCCGAGUAGCUGAGACUACAGGUGCCCGCCACCACGCCUGGCUAAGUUUUGUAUUUUUAGUAGAGAUGGGGUUUCACCAUAUUGGCCAAGCUGUUCUCGAACUCCUGACCUUGUGAUCUUCCCACUUCAGGCUCCCAAAGUGCUGGGAUUACUUACAGGCAUGAGCCACUGUGCCUGGCCCCACUGAUGAUUUUCUAACUCAUAUAUGCUUCUAUAUUUACUGGCUAGCACCCAAGCCACCUCUUAGUUGGACUAUUUCACUGCAACAGUCCCCUUCAGCUGGUGAGUCUCU